UAGACUUCAAUAUUCAUAAAUGGAAGUCAAAUAAAAAGUCUCUCAUGUUCAUGUAAAUAGACAAUUCCCAUUAUAGACUAAUUUUAGAACUAGGCAAAGAGAUGCAAAUCAAGGCCGAAUUUUGGUGAAAAUAGUGGGGGAGGUGGAAAAAAAUGUUAGGGGAGGUGCAGCAGUCUAGCUCACAACCCCCAUGGAAAAUUAGGGCUUAUUGUAGAACAGGCCAAUAUCAACAAGGUGAGGUAUGCAUGUAGUGUACAUAUGUACCAGUGUAUUAAUGAAUUAUGAAUGUAUGACUCCAAUCUUGCCCUUCAUUGCAAUUGCUACAAAGUUUCUUUCAAAACAUUGCAUUACACUAGUGUACUUG